rnacentral:sRNA from 1 species
GGAUAAGCCGAAUCCAGCCCAGGAGCGGGGGAACCAGUUUUUUGGGGCGAACCUCAGGCUCACGAUGUUUCGUGAAAUUGAAGCGGGUGGUCUUCUCUACCCGAGCCCGGCAGCUAACCUCGUAGGCGACAAGAGAGAGGA